rnacentral:rRNA from 1 species
GAAAGGUGAAAAGUACCCCGGAAGGGGAGUGAAAGAGAACUUGAAACCGUGUGCUUACAAGUAGUCAGAGCCCGUUAAUGGGUGAUGGCGUGCCUUUUGUAGAAUGAACCGGCGAGUUACGAUCUGAUGCAAGGUUAAGCAGCAAAUGUGGAGCCGCAGCGAAAGCGAGUCUGAAUAGGGCGUUGAGUAUUUGGUCGUAGACCCGAAACCAGGUGAUCUACCCUUGGUCAGGUUGAAGUUCAGGUAACACUGAAUGGAGGACCGAACCGACUUACGUUGAAAAGUGAGCGGAUGAACUGAGGGUAGCGGAGAAAUUCCAAUCGAACUUGGAGAUAGCUGGUUCUCUCCGAAAUAGCUUUAGGGCUAGCCUCAAGUGAUGAUUAUUGGAGGUAGAGCACUGUUUGGACGAGGGGCCCCUCUCGGGUUACCGAAUUCAGACAAACUCCGAAUGCCAAUUAAUUUAACUUGGGAGUCAGAACAUGGGUGAUAAGGUCCGUGUUCGAAAGGGAAACAGCCCAGACCACCAGCUAAGGUCCCAAAAUAUAUGUUAAGUGGAAAAGGAUGUGGCGUUGCCCAGACAACUAGGAUGUUGGCUUAGAAGCAGCCAUCAUUUAAAGAGUGCGUAAUAGCUCACUAGUCGAGUGACACUGCGCCGAAAAUGUACCGGGGCUAAACAUAUUACCGAAGCUGUGGAUUGUCCUUUGGACAAUGGUAGGAGAGCGUUCUAAGGGCGUCGAAGCAUGAUCGCAAGGACAUGUGGAGCGCUUAGAAGUGAGAAUGCCGGUGUGAGUAGCGAAAGACGGGUGAGAAUCCCGUCCACCGAUUGACUAAGGUUUCCAGAGGAAGGCUCGUCCGCUCUGGGUUAGUCGGGUCCUAAGCUGAGGCCGACAGGCGUAGGCGAUGGAUAACAGGUUGAUAUUCCUGUACCACCUAGUAUCGUUUUAAUCGAUGGGGGGACGCAGUAGGAUAGGCGAAGCGUGCUGUUGGAGUGCACGUCCAAGCAGUAAGGCUGAGUGUUAGGCAAAUCCGGCACUCAUAAGGCUGAGCUGUGAUGGGGAGAGGAAAUUGUUUCCUCGAGUCGUUGAUUUCACACUGCCGAGAAAAGCCUCUAGAUAGAUAACAGGUGCCCGUACCGCAAACCGACACAGGUAGUCAAGAUGAGAAUUCUAAGGUGAGCGAGCGAACUCUCGUUAAGGAACUCGGCAAAAUGACCCCGUAACUUCGGGAGAAGGGGUGCUCUUUAGGGUUCACGCCCAGAAGAGCCGCAGUGAAUAGGCCCAAGCGACUGUUUAUCAAAAACACAGGUCUCUGCUAAACCGUAAGGUGAUGUAUAGGGGCUGACGCCUGCCCGGUGCUGGAAGGUUAAGAGGAGUGGUUAGCUUCUGCGAAGCUACGAAUCGAAGCCCCAGUAAACGGCGGCCGUAACUAUAACGGUCCUAAGGUAGCGAAAUUCCUUGUCGGGUAAGUUCCGACCCGCACGAAAGGCGUAACGAUUUGGGCACUGUCUCAACGAGAGACUCGGUGAAAUCAUAGUACCUGUGAAGAUGCAGGUUACCCGCGACAGGACGGAAAGACCCCGUGGAGCUUUACUGUAGCCUGAUAUUGAAAUUCGGCACAGCUUGUACAGGAUAGGUAGGAGCCUUUGAAACGUGAGCGCUAGCUUACGUGGAGGCGUUGGUGGGAUACUACCCUAGCUGUGUUGGCUUUCUAACCCGCACCACUUAUCGUGGUGGGAGACAGUGUCAGGCGGGCAGUUUGACUGGGGCGGUCGCCUCCUAAAAGGUAACGGAGGCGCUCAAAGGUUCCCUCAGAA